GAACGAUGCUUUCGGGCAUAGUGGCGCACGGGUGCGUAACGCGUGGGAAUCUGCCCUUGGGUUCGGAAUAACCAUUAGAAAUGAUGGCUAAUACCGGAUGAUGACGUAAGUCCAAAGAUUUAUCGCCCGAGGAUGAGCCCGCGUAGGACUAGCUAGUUGGUGGGGUAAAGGCCUACCAAGGUUACGAUCCUUAGCUGGUCUGAGAGGAUGAUCAGCCACACUGGGACUGAGACACGGCCCAGACUCCUACGGGAGGCAGCAGUGGGGAAUAUUGGACAAUGGGCGAAAGCCUGAUCCACCAAUGCCGCGUGAGUGAUGAAGGGCUUAGGGUUGUAAAGCUCUUUUACCCGGGGAUGAUAAUGACAGUACCGGGAGAAUAAGCUCCGGCUAACUCCGUG
rnacentral:rRNA from 1 species